GGGUGUGAGAACAAUCUGGGAGUGACAUCUGUCACCCCAUUGAUUGCCAGGGUUGGUUUGGCUNAUCUGGCUGGCUAGGCUCCUGUCUGCUUCCUCCCUCAUUGCUGCAAGUGCUCUGGAGGACCUUGCUCAAACAGAGGCAGAUUGGUCUUCGGUUAAGGGUAUAUAAGUAACUGCAUUCCCCAUCUAGAAACUGCAAACGAGCUCUUAAAAAUAUUUUUUAUCUGUGAUUGGUAUGUAAAAUGAAUAAAAAAUUUCUUAAUAAAAAUACUUUUNAUUCUUAUCAUUCAGUAGGUAAAACUGUAUAUACUA
rnacentral:snRNA from 1 species